CACGUAGGGCGCAAGCGUUGUCCGGAAUUAUUGGGCGUAAAGAGCUCGUAGGCGGUCUGUUGCGUCCGCUGUGAAAACUCGGGGCUUAACCCCGAGCCUGCAGUGGAUACGGGCAGACUAGAGGUAGGUAGGGGAGAAUGGAAUUCCCGGUGUAGCGGUGAGAUGCGCAGAUAUCGGGAGGAACACCGGUGGCGAAGGCGGUUCUCUGGACAGUUCCUGACACUGAGACACGAAGGCCAGGGGAGCAAACGGG
rnacentral:rRNA from 1 species